UUCCCACGGGGGCAGCAGUGAGGAAUAUUGGUCAAUGGUCGGGAGACUGAACCAGCCAAGCCGCGUGAGGGAUGAAGGUACAGAGUAUCGUAAACCUCUUUUGUCAGGGAACAAAGGCGGGGACGUGUCCCCGGAUGAGUGUACCUGAAGAAAAAGCAUCGGCUAACUCCGUGCCAGCAGCCGCGGUAAUACGGAGGAUGCGAGCGUUAUCCGGAUUUAUUGGGUUUAAAGGGUGCGCAGGCGGUCUGUUAAGUCAGCGGUCAAAGCCCGGGGCUCAACCUCGCUCCUCCGUUGAAAC
rnacentral:rRNA from 1 species